ensembl:snRNA Gm25078 predicted gene, 25078
GUUCUCGCUUCGGCAGCACAUAUACUAAAAUUGGAACUAUACAGAGAAGAUUAGCGUGGCCCCAGCACAAAAAUGGCAUGCAAAAUCAUGAAGCAUUUCAUAUAUUU